rnacentral:rRNA from 1 species
UACGUAGGGUGCAAGCGUUAUCCGGAAUUAUUGGGCGUAAAGAGCUCGUAGGCGGCUUGUUGCGUCGGUUGUGAAAGCCCGGGGCUUAACCCCGGGUCUGCAGUCGAUACGGGCAGGCUAGAGUGUGGUAGGGGAGAUCGGAAUUCCUGGUGUAGCGGUGAAAUGCGCAGAUAUCAGGAGGAACACCGGUGGCGAAGGCGGAUCUCUGGGCCAUUACUGACGCUGAGGAGCGAAAGCGUGGGGAGCGAACAGG